UGGGGCGUGGCCAAGUG
rnacentral:tRNA from 1 species